rnacentral:rRNA from 1 species
GUCCACGCCGUAAACGAUGGAUACUAGGUGUAGGGGUCAAAAGGCCUCUGUGCCGGAGCAAACGCAUUAAGUAUCCCGCCUGGGGAGUACGGCCGCAAGGCUGAAACUCAAAGGAAUUGACGGGGGCCCGCACAAGCAGCGGAGCAUGUGGUUUAAUUCGAAGCAACGCGAAGAACCUUACCAAGGCUUGACAUCCUCUGACGAACAUAGAGAUAUGUUUUUCCUACGGGACAGAGAGACAGGUGGUGCAUGGUUGUCGU